rnacentral:rRNA from 1 species
UACAGAGGUCCCAAGCGUUUGUUCGGAUUCACUGGGCGUAAAGGGUGCGUAGGUGGCGAGGUAAGUCGGAUGUGAAAGCUCGGAGCUCAACUCCGAAAUGGCAUUGGAAACUACCUUGCUCGAGGGUUGGAGGGGGGACUGGAAUUCUCGGUGUAGCAGUGAAAUGCGUAGAGAUUGAGAAGACACCAGUGGCGAAGGCGACGUUCCUGGUACACUCAUGCACUGAGGCACGAAAGCUGGGGGAGCAAACAGGG